rnacentral:rRNA from 1 species
UAGCAAUAUUCUGUAGUCGGAGCGGCGCAAGGGUGCGUAACACGUGGGUAAUCUGCCAUGAAGUUUGGGAUAACUCGCUGAAAGGCGAGCUAAUACCGGAUGUGACGAUUGGAAGGCAUCUUCUGAUCUUUAAAGUUGGGGACCGUAAGGCCUGACGCUUCAUGGUGAGCCCGCGGCCUAUCAGCUAGUUGGUGAGGUAACGGCUCACCAAGGCUAAGACGGGUAGCUGGUCUGAGAGGACGACCAGCCACACUGGAACUGAGACACGGUCCAGACACCUACGGGUGGCAGCAGUCGAGAAUUUUUCACAAUGGGGGAAACCCUGAUGGAGCGACGCCGCGUGGGGGAUGAAUGGCUUCGGCCCGUAAACCCCUGUCAUUCGCGAACAAUGCCUGUAUAUUAACACCAUACAGGUUGAUAGUAGCGGAAGAGGAAGGGACGGCUAACUCUGUGCCAGCAGCCGCGGUAAUACAGAGGUCCCAAGCGUUGUUCGGAUUCACUGGGCGUAAAGGGUGCGUAGGCGGUCGGGUAAGUCUGAUGUGAAAUCUCACAGCUUAACUGUGAAACUGCAUUGGAUACUAUUCGGCUUGAGGUCUGGAGGGGGGACUGGAAUUCACGGUGUAGCA